ACAAACUCCUGUUUUUAUAAUAUCUGUUUGUGCAAUUCUUAGUUUACGUGACACGACAUAGCAAUGUUUACUUAAUUGUGGUGGGCAGACCCCCCCCCCCUCUCCGCUUGCAUGAAUCGUGUUUGCGUGGUUUGUAUGAAACAAUUCCUUAUAUGAUGUUGUGGUGGUUUUUUUAAAUAAACGAAUCGAGUCGUUCAGUGGAUGAUAAAUUGGCUCUUUUUUACCAUUCUACAUGAAAUUCAAUUUCGUGGUCAAUCAUUAUCAUUUAAAGUAUUAUCUGUGAUAUGCUUUAAUUUGUUAUUUUGAUGGAUGCUUAGACUUGUGUGUAAUAUGUGAAAAUGUCUUUUGUUUUUACCGCUUCUCUGUGUGAAUUUACUCACUAUUCAUUAAAUGAUCAAAACUCUUGC
rnacentral:sRNA from 1 species